rnacentral:rRNA from 1 species
UAGAGUUUGAUCAUGGCUCAGGAUGAACGCUGGCGGCGUGCCUAACACAUGCAAGUCGAACGCGCAGCACCGCUCUUCGGAGCAGUGUGGGCGAGUGGCGAACGGGUGAGUGACACGUCGGUGAUCUAUCCCGGAGAGGGGGACAACCGCUGGAAACGGCGGCUAAUACCCCAUGUUCUCGGGUCUUCGACGAUUCGAGGAAAGGCCCGGGCUGCUUACGGGCAGGCCGGGCGCUCUGGGGGGAGCCGGCGGCCUAUCAGGUAGUUGGUGGGGUAAGGGCCCACCAAGCCGAUAACGGGGAGGGGGCGUGAGAGCGUGGCCCCCCACACGGGGACUGAGACACGGCCCCGACUCCUACGGGAGGCAGCAGUGAGGGAUCUUGCGCAAUGGGGGCAACCCUGACGCAGCGACGCCGCGUGGGUGAGGAAGCCUUUCGAGGUGUAAAGCCCUUUUCUGGGGGAAGAGGACGGACGGUACCCCGGGAACAAGUCACGGCUAACUACGUGCCAGCAGCCGCGGUAAAACGUAGGUGGCGAGCGUUAUCCGGAAUCACUGGGCGUAAAGGGCGUCUAGGCGGCCUGGUAAGUCGUGCGUGAAAGCUCCCUGCUCAACGGGGAGAGGCCGUACGAAACUGCCGCGCUUGAGGGCCGGAGAGGGAGACGGAAUUCCCGGUGUAGCGGUGAAAUGCGUAGAGAUCGGGAGGAACACCAGUGGCGAAGGCGGUCUCCUGGCCGGCGCCUGACGCUGAAGCGCGAAAGCGUGGGGAGCGAACGGGAUUAGAUACCCCGGUAGUCCACGCCGUAAACGAUGGUGACUAGGCGUAUGGGGUGGUAAACACUCUGUGUGCCGCAGCCAACGCGAUAAGUGACCCGCCUGGGGAGUACGGUCGCAAGGCUAAAACUCAAAGGAAUUGACGGGGGCCCGCACAAGCAGCGGAGCGUGUGGUUUAAUUCGAAGCAACGCGAAGAACCUUACCUGGGCUUGACAUGCCGGUCGUACCGAGGUGAAAGCCGAGGGACCCGCGAGGGAGCCGGCACAGGUGCUGCAUGGCUGUCGUCAGCUCGUGCCGUGAGGUGUUGGGUUAAGUCCCGCAACGAGCGCAACCCUUGGUGUAUGUUAGACAUGUCAUACGCGACUGCCCGGGCAACUGGGAGGAAGGUGGGGAUGACGUCAAGUCAGCAUGGCCUUGAUGUCCAGGGCGACACACACGCUACAAUGGCCGGGACAACGGGUAGCCAAGCCGCGAGGUGGAGCUAAUCCCCCAAACCCGGUCUCAGUUCGGAUUGGAGUCUGCAACUCGACUCCAUGAAGGCGGAGUUGCUAGUAACCGCCGGUCAGCCAUACGGCGGUGAAUACGUUCUCGGGCCUUGUACACACCGCCCGUCACGUCAUGGGAGUCGGUAACGCCUGAAGACGGUGACCCAACCUGCGGGAGGGAGCCGGCUAGGGUGGGACCGGCAACUGGGGUGAAGUCGUAACAAGGUA